ACUCGUUGGUCCCAUCCCAGCACGAUGAAAUCCAUCCUCAUUGGACCAAUCACAGCCCCAGACCGUCAUCCCGGCAUCUGAGGAAGCAGAAGAAGGCGACUGUAUCCAUUGGGUGCUGGGGUAAUGUAUGAUAAAGCGCCAGUCUGCAUAGAACAGUAUUGAGCGAGCGUAUUAGCAGUGUAGGCUUCAGCGAGAGCAGUGCGUACAUUCUAUUAGAUAGUGUUCUGCCCAACAGUCAAUACCUCAUGGACUAUUACCGUAUUGUAGCAAAUACCGUGUAUGUGUGAAGGCUUGAUUGCGUGUCCCUCUUUGGAUUCUUAAAUCAAUUAUGUGUUUGUCAAGGACCGAUGCUUGUCAAAGUUUGUUGAAAUGGUUACGUACGUGUCCGUUAAACAAACAUUGAUGGGUAAGCAUUAUUUGUUAUAAAAGUUAUACAUAUAGUUUUAUAGCAAGGCCAUAUUGACUUAUCAUUUGGAGACCGGUGAAUUUCUUUUGUUCGUGGAAUAGAACGAAGCAAAUCAUUCCAAAUGCACGGAAAACAGCAUUACGAUGAAGUGAUUGAAAUGAUCUACCCGAACUCAACGCAGGAUUCCUACAAUGCUUCUGCUAUUAACACAACAGAAGACUACUCUGAACUAGAAUCAUGGCAGACAAAGCCUUUCAUCUGGAUCAUCCUCCUGCUGUCAACAUGCGUAUUCGUUAUGGGUACUGUGGGGAACCUGUUGGUGUGGUUUGCGGUAUGGAGGAACCACCGGAUGCGCUCUGCGACGAACCUUUUCCUAGUCAACCUGGCUCUAGCGGACUUUUUGGUUAUCUUGAUAUGCCUGCCACCUACUGUUAUUUCUGAUGUUACUACCAACUGGCCACUCGGACACGAGAUGUGCAAGGCUAUUCACUACUUACAGAAAGUCUCAGUCUUUGUGUCAGUUCUGACGCUGACAGCUAUAUCCAUGGAGAGAUGGAUGGCGAUCUGUCGUCCCUUGUGGUUCCGACAGACGUCUGUGAGAGCUAAACGGAUCAUUGUGUUAUUGUGGGGUAUAUCAUUCGCAGCUGCCAUUCCUGACUUAGUAGUAUUACAAACAUAUUACAUCGAACGAUAUAACCUUACAAUUUGUCAGCCGAGCUGGGAUCUGAAGUUUGAGAAAAUAAGCUUAUUAACAAUACUCGUGCUGUUUUACUUCAUUCCUCUGCUAAUUAUGACGUUCGCAUACGCAAAAGUUGCCAUUUGCCUGUGGCGAAGUGGAUCAGCCAAUGAAUCGACAGUUGCGGCUGCCAGCGUGCCCCGAGCUCAGCUUCUGAUCCGACAAAAGAAGGCCAAGAUGCUUAUCGUCGUUGUCCUCAUCUUUGCCAUCUGCUUCCUGCCUAUCUAUCUCCUCUUCUUGUUAAGGUGCUCCGAUGUUCAGAUUGCCAAGCCUGCCCUGAUGAUUGCUCACUUCCUCUGCUACUUCAACAGCGCCAUCAACCCCGUCAUAUACAACUUCAUGAGUUGUAACUUCCGCCGAGAGUUCAAGGUCGCAUGUCGGGUUUGCUGUAGGGAAGGUCAAGGCCACGGCCACACAAACUACUCUGCGCAUGACGGCUGGGCGUUAAAAACCACUUCAGAUGCAAGGAAUGGACAUUCCGGAGCCAUUGCAAGCAGAAACAUGAACUUGAGACAAUCAAGUGUCCUCACAUCAAGCGUUAGGAUAUCCAGUAUUAGAAAACCAAAUAUUCAAACUCAUGUUCAUUUUGGAAAGGUCCAAAAUGUGUAAACAACCUUUGGAUUGUCUGUUUGAGUCUAGGUUCUGUUGACUACCAACAAAACUUCCCACGGAGUUACCUCUAUGUGAGAGUUCGUUUUAAUUUCCUCUAAAGCAUGAAUGGUUUGUAAUUAUAGAGCUAUCGUAUUCUGGCAACAACUCUUUUUUUUUUGCUUGGACUAUUUGGUCAGUUAAGUUAUUUUCUUGACACUGUUAACUUUUUGCACUUGCUCUUAUAUCGAAUUGCUGCAACCAAGUUGAAACUUCACACUACAUAACGAACCGUGAAAGAUUCUGCGUUAAAAGGUCGACUCCGGUAUAACGUGUAAAGUUAUGAUGAUUUGUAUGCCUAUCAUACAUAUAUAACCUGCAUGUAUUUCCUAAUUUCGAGAAUGCUGAGCAUGAUAUAUGUAUGACGUAUCUAUAUGAUAAAAUAUAAUAGUUAAUUAUGUUUGAAUUGUGGACCUUACGUACAAAAUGUGAACACACGUGAUCAUUGAAAGCAAGGAAGUUAUGUGUCUAUUACACGCAAUUUAUAAACGGUUAUUUCUUGCAAUUGAAACUGGUCUGAAGUCCGAAGAAACCAUGAAAACGAAAACGGUCAUUUGCUUAAACUGGUACCAGUGCCUUUUUUAGAAGCUGAACAACAUUUUGAAAAGGUAUUAAUUUUCUAUUUAGGAUUGUUAUAUAUUUUAGAGACCGACAUGUACAUAUGUUGUAUAUAUUGUAACCAAGGUACGUUUGAUUGCAAAGCACUACAACAUAUUUAAUUGUGAGGACGAUUAUGUACAUAUGUUAAAUAUAAAUGUAAAAUAGUACAUGACAUGACAGACGAUGUUCUUUCGUAUACGUUAAUGUUAAUUACUGUGAUAUGGUAACAUGAGUGUUUCAUGUUGAAAUGUUUGUUUUUUGUGUGAUUUGUUUACAAAAGUCACGUUUAAUUGAAGAAUAUUGUACAUACAUACCUUAUAUUAAAAGUAGCAUAUUUUGAUAGCCCGACGCUUACAAAUAUGUUUCUUGAUAAACAUUUACUUUUGACGUCAUAUGACGUUUCUUUUUCACAAUAAAAUUAUACCUGAUAAAUUUUUUUGUAACUUUCUUUUUAUAACUGUUUCGAGAGAGACAGAACUGUAAGGAAUUGAUUAUUUUUUUGGUUUCUUUAGGCAUAAACUGAAACGGAUAUUACUUCAGGUCUAGCGUUGGAAUAGAUCUGAUCCAGAAUAUGUGCUGUUCUGAUAGUGUGACAGUUUUCAUUACUUUAGUGGUUUUCGUGUAAAGAAUGAUGACAGGUCAUGGUUUUAUUGGAUUAAUCUGGUGCCUCCCAUGGCAUUUCAUUACUGAACGUGUAAUAUAUAUAUAUCCAGUUUCUUUCCCCUGAAGUGUAAGGUGUAUUGCGUUUCAUACAUUGCAGAUAUUUGCUUUGGGGUACAAAUAUGGUCAAGGAAUUUGAAACAAAUGACGAUUAUGAUUGUGAUACCGUCCCUUUUAGAAUUACGCCGUGUUGUUUUGUAGUGAGAAGUGUAGUACAUUUCAUUUUGUCUUGACAAAAUGCAUUGUUCAUUUGAUUUUACACACACACAUAUGUCAAUAAAACUUAUUUGUGAGCUGGAUUUUUUGUGUUCUCCUAUGUUGUACUUAUGCCAUUUAAUGUUACGCUUAUUUAUUGCUAGGAUUUGAACAAGCAACUUUUGUGAGCUCUGAAACGUGUGACGGGGACUUAGAGUACCAUAUCAAUUGUCUCAAAGCAUUUAUCUCUUGUGACAAGCAUAUCCUUGCCUGUAUAUCUGUUUAUUACAUUUCAAUGUAGUGUCUCAAGCUCUUAACAAAUAUAUAACCACUUGAAACCCAUGUAGCCAUAUCUUUGUUAUUAUUUGACAUUUCGUCGUUUGUCUAUAUACUCUGACAUUCUUCAGGUGCAAUUCACUCACCGUCACCCGAGAGCACGAGAAAGACUCGACUAAGCUGUUCUCCCAACUUAACUGUGUAUCGAGCAGUGCUUCAAACAAAACAGAAGUCUCCUCUGUCAAUGCUGUGAGAUGUUAACAAAACAUCUAGCUUUAUAUGUUUACUGUUUUGUGGAAAUGUUU